GACGAACGCUGGCGGCGUGCUUAACACAUGCAAGUCGAACGGAAAGGCCCUGCUUUUGUGGGGUGCUCGAGUGGCGAACGGGUGAGUAACACGUGAGUAACCUGCCCUUGACUUUGGGAUAACUUCAGGAAACUGGGGCUAAUACCGGAUAGGAGCUCCUGCUGCAUGGUGGGGGUUGGAAAGUUUCGGCGGUUGGGGAUGGACUCGCGGCUUAUCAGCUUGUUGGUGGGGUAGUGGCUUACCAAGGCUUUGACGGGUAGCCGGCCUGAGAGGGUGACCGGCCACAUUGGGACUGCGAGACGGCCCAGACGCCUACGGGAGGCAGCAGUGGGGAAUAUUGCACAAUGGGCGGAAGCCUGAUGCAGCAACGCCGCGUGCGGGAUGACGGCCUUCGGGUUGUAAACCGCUUUCGCCUGUGACGAAGCGUGAGUGACGGUAAUGGGUAAAGAAGCACCGGCUAACUACGUG
rnacentral:rRNA from 1 species